rnacentral:rRNA from 1 species
UAUGGAGGGUGCAAGCGUUGUCCGGAUUUAUUGGGUUUAAAGGGUGCGUAGGCGGCUAAUUAAGUCAGUGGUGAAAGCCUGUAGCUCAACUAUAGAAUUGCCAUUGGUACUGGUUAGCUUGAGUUCGGUUGAGGUAAGCGGAAUGGAUAGUGUAGCGGUGAAAUGCAUAGAUAUUAUCCAGAACACCGAUAGCGAAGGCAGCUUACUGGACCGAUACUGACGUUGAGGCACGAAAGCAUGGGGAGCGAACAGG